rnacentral:rRNA from 1 species
ACUACGGGAGGCAGCAGUGGGGAAUAUUGGGCAAUGGGCGCAAGCCUGACCCAGCCACGCCGCGUGAAGGAAGAAGGCUUUCGGGUUGUAAACUUCUUUUGACAGGGAAGAGUAGAAGACGGUACCUGUCGAAUAAGCCACGGCUAACUACGUGCCAGCAGCCGCGGUAAUACGUAGGUGGCAAGCGUUGUACGGAUUUACUGGGUGUAACGGGCGUGUAGCCGGGUUGACAAGUCAGAUGUGAAAUCCUGCGGCUUAACCGCAGAACUGCAUUUGAAACUGUUGAUCUUGAGUACUGGAGAGGCAGACGGAAUUCCUAGUGUAGCGGUGAAAUGCGUAGAUAUUAGGAGGAACACCAGUGGCGAAGGCGGUUUGCUGGACAGCAACUGACGGUGAGGCGCGAAAGCGUGGGGAGCAAACAGGAUUAGAUACCCGAGUAGUC